UACGUAGGGUGCAAGCGUUGUCCGGAAUUAUUGGGCGUAAAGAGCUCGUAGGCGGUCUGUUGCGUCGGCUGUGAAAACCCGGGGCUCAACCCCGGGCCUGCAGCCGAUACGGGCAGACUAGAGUGCGGUAGGGGAGACUGGAAUUCCUGGUGUAGCGGUGAAAUGCGCAGAUAUCAGGAGGAACACCGGUGGCGAAGGCGGGUCUCUGGGCCGUAACUGACGCUGAGGAGCGAAAGCGUGGGGAGCAAACAGG
rnacentral:rRNA from 1 species